rnacentral:rRNA from 1 species
UAAGCGACUAAGCGUACACGGUGGAUGCCCUGGCAGUCAGAGGCGAUGAAGGACGUGCUAAUCUGCGAUAAGCGUCGGUAAGGUGAUAUGAACCGUUAUAACCGGCGAUUUCCGAAUGGGGAAACCCAGUGUGUUUCGACACACUAUCAUUAACUGAAUCCAUAGGUUAAUGAGGCGAACCGGGGGAACUGAAACAUCUAAGUACCCCGAGGAAAAGAAAUCAACCGAGAUUCCCCCAGUAGCGGCGAGCGAACGGGGAGCAGCCCAGAGCCUGAAUCAGUGUGUGUGUUAGUGGAAGCGUCUGGAAAGGCGCGCGAUACAGGGUGACAGCCCCGUACACAAAAAUGCACAUGCUGUGAGCUCGAUGAGUAGGGCGGGACACGUGGUAUCCUGUCUGAAUAUGGGGGGACCAUCCUCCAAGGCUAAAUACUCCUGACUGACCGAUAGUGAACCAGUACCGUGAGGGAAAGGCGAAAAGAACCCCGGCGAGGGGAGUGAAAAAGAACCUGAAACCGUGUACGUACAAGCAGUGGGAGCACGCUUAGGCGUGUGACUGCGUACCUUUUGUAUAAUGGGUCAGCGACUUAUAUUCUGUAGCAAGGUUAACCGAAUAGGGGAGCCGAAGGGAAACCGAGUCUUAACUGGGCGUUAAGUUGCAGGGUAUAGACCCGAAACCCGGUGAUCUAGCCAUGGGCAGGUUGAAGGUUGGGUAACACUAACUGGAGGACCGAACCGACUAAUGUUGAAAAAUUAGCGGAUGACUUGUGGCUGGGGGUGAAAGGCCAAUCAAACCGGGAGAUAGCUGGUUCUCCCCGAAAGCUAUUUAGGUAGCGCCUCGUGAAUUCAUCUCCGGGGGUAGAGCACUGUUUCGGCAAGGGGGUCAUCCCGACUUACCAACCCGAUGCAAACUGCGAAUACCGGAGAAUGUUAUCACGGGAGACACACGGCGGGUGCUAACGUCCGUCGUGAAGAGGGAAACAACCCAGACCGCCAGCUAAGGUCCCAAAGUCAUGGUUAAGUGGGAAACGAUGUGGGAAGGCCCAGACAGCCAGGAUGUUGGCUUAGAAGCAGCCAUCAUUUAAAGAAAGCGUAAUAGCUCACUGGUCGAGUCGGCCUGCGCGGAAGAUGUAACGGGGCUAAACCAUGCACCGAAGCUGCGGCAGCGACACUAUGUGUUGUUGGGUAGGGGAGCGUUCUGUAAGCCUGUGAAGGUGUGCUGUGAGGCAUGCUGGAGGUAUCAGAAGUGCGAAUGCUGACAUAAGUAACGAUAAAGCGGGUGAAAAGCCCGCUCGCCGGAAGACCAAGGGUUCCUGUCCAACGUUAAUCGGGGCAGGGUGAGUCGACCCCUAAGGCGAGGCCGAAAGGCGUAGUCGAUGGGAAACAGGUUAAUAUUCCUGUACUUGGUGUUACUGCGAAGGGGGGACGGAGAAGGCUAUGUUGGCCGGGCGACGGUUGUCCCGGUUUAAGCGUGUAGGCUGGUUUUCCAGGCAAAUCCGGAAAAUCAAGGCUGAGGCGUGAUGACGAGGCACUACGGUGCUGAAGCAACAAAUGCCCUGCUUCCAGGAAAAGCCUCUAAGCAUCAGGUAACAUCAAAUCGUACCCCAAACCGACACAGGUGGUCAGGUAGAGAAUACCAAGGCGCUUGAGAGAACUCGGGUGAAGGAACUAGGCAAAAUGGUGCCGUAACUUCGGGAGAAGGCACGCUGAUAUGUAGGUGAAGUCCCUCGCGGAUGGAGCUGAAAUCAGUCGAAGAUACCAGCUGGCUGCAACUGUUUAUUAAAAACACAGCACUGUGCAAACACGAAAGUGGACGUAUACGGUGUGACGCCUGCCCGGUGCCGGAAGGUUAAUUGAUGGGGUUAGCCGCAAGGCGAAGCUCUUGAUCGAAGCCCCGGUAAACGGCGGCCGUAACUAUAACGGUCCUAAGGUAGCGAAAUUCCUUGUCGGGUAAGUUCCGACCUGCACGAAUGGCGUAAUGAUGGCCAGGCUGUCUCCACCCGAGACUCAGUGAAAUUGAACUCGCUGUGAAGAUGCAGUGUACCCGCGGCAAGACGGAAAGACCCCGUGAACCUUUACUAUAGCUUGACACUGAACAUUGAGCCUUGAUGUGUAGGAUAGGUGGGAGGCUUAGAAGUGUGGACGCCAGUCUGCAUGGAGCCGACCUUGAAAUACCACCCUUUAAUGUUUGAUGUUCUAACGUUGACCCGUAAUCCGGGUUGCGGACAGUGUCUGGUGGGUAGUUUGACUGGGGCGGUCUCCUCCUAAAGAGUAACGGAGGAGCACGAAGGUUGGCUAAUCCUGGUCGGACAUCAGGAGGUUAGUGCAAUGGCAUAAGCCAGCUUGACUGCGAGCGUGACGGCGCGAGCAGGUGCGAAAGCAGGUCAUAGUGAUCCGGUGGUUCUGAAUGGAAGGGCCAUCGCUCAACGGAUAAAAGGUACUCCGGGGAUAACAGGCUGAUACCGCCCAAGAGUUCAUAUCGACGGCGGUGUUUGGCACCUCGAUGUCGGCUCAUCACAUCCUGGGGCUGAAGUAGGUCCCAAGGGUAUGGCUGUUCGCCAUUUAAAGUGGUACGCGAGCUGGGUUUAGAACGUCGUGAGACAGUUCGGUCCCUAUCUGCCGUGGGCGCUGGAGAACUGAGGGGGGCUGCUCCUAGUACGAGAGGACCGGAGUGGACGCAUCACUGGUGUUCGGGUUGUCAUGCCAAUGGCACUGCCCGGUAGCUAAAUGCGGAAGAGAUAAGUGCUGAAAGCAUCUAAGCACGAAACUUGCCCCGAGAUGAGUUCUCCCUGACUCCUUGAGAGUCCUGAAGGAACGUUGAAGACGACGACGUUGAUAGGCCGGGUGUGUAAGCGCAGCGAUGCGUUGAGCUAACCGGUACUAAUGAACCGUGAGGCUUAACCU